CCUACGGGGGGCAGCAGUGGGGAAUAUUGGACAAUGGGCGAAAGCCUGAUCCAGCCAUGCCGCGUGUGUGAAGAAGGCCUUCGGGUUGUAAAGCACUUUCAGUGGGGAAGAAAGCCUUGGGGCUAAUACCCUCGAGGAAGGACAUCACCCACAGAAGAAGCACCGGCUAACUCCGUGCCAGCAGCCGCGGUAAUACGGAGGGUGCGAGCGUUAAUCGGAAUUACUGGGCGUAAAGCGCGCGUCGGCGGUCUGAUAAGCCGGUUGUGAAAGCCCCGGGCUCAACCUGGGAACGGCAUCCGGAACUGUCAGGCUAGAGUGCAGGAGAGGAAGGUAGAAUUCCCGGUGUAGCGGUGAAAUGCGUAGAGAUCGGGAGGAAUACCAGUGGCGAAGGCGGCCUUCUGGACUGACACUGACGCUGAGGUGCGAAAGCGUGGGUAGCAAACAGGAUUAGAUACCCCGGUAGUC
rnacentral:rRNA from 1 species